UUUAUUAAUGUAUAUGUACACUGAUUUAUAUACUACACACACGUACAAACACUCACACUCACGCACACGCACUCACACUCACACGCACACUCACACAUAUACACACGCACUCACACACACACACACUCGCACUCACACUCACACUCGCACUCGCACUCGCACUCACACUCACACUCAAACUCACACACACUCACACUCACACUCACACUCACUCACAGAUAUAUAUAUUAUCACCUCUAAUCUGAUAUGCCUAGGAAAAAUUCCAUAUUACUUUGUAUAGAAUUAGGCAUAAGAAUGGGUAUCUUCUCUUGAUGAAUUGGGUAUGCUAAAUAUCCAAUUGUGAUAGACCAUUUAAAUUUUUUUUCUUAUUUGUACUUGUUUUUAUUAAUAUUGAAGAGCUUCAUCU
rnacentral:lncRNA from 1 species